UACACAUGCAAGUCGAACGAUGAAGCCCAGCUUGCUGGGUGGAUUAGUGGCGAACGGGUGAGUAACACGUGAGUAACCUGCCCUUAACUCUGGGAUAAGCCUGGGAAACUGGGUCUAAUACCGGAUAGGAGCGUCUACCGCAUGGUGGGUGUUGGAAAGAUUUAUCGGUUUUGGAUGGACUCGCGGCCUAUCAGCUUGUUGGUGAGGUAAUGGCUCACCAAGGCGACGACGGGUAGCCGGCCUGAGAGGGUGACCGGCCACACUGGGACUGAGACACGGCCCAGACUCCUACGGGAGGCAGCAGUGGGGAAUAUUGCACAAUGGGCGCAAGCCUGAUGCAGCGACGCCGCGUGAGGGAUGACGGCCUUCGGGUUGUAAACCUCUUUCAGUAGGGAAGAAGCGAAAGUGACGGUACCUGCAGAAGAAGCACCGGCUAACUACGUGCCAGCAGCCGCGGUAAUACGUAGGGUGCGAGCGUUAUCCGGAAUUAUUGGGCGUAAAGAGCUCGUAGGCGGUUUGUCGCGUCUGUCGUGAAAGUCCGGGGCUUAACCCCGGAUCUGCGGUGGGUACGGGCAGACUAGAGUGCAGUAGGGGAGACUGGAAUUCCUGGUGUAGCGGUGGAAUGCGCAGAUAUCAGGAGGAACACCGAUGGCGAAGGCAGGUCUCUGGGCUGUAACUGACGCUGAGGAGCGAAAGCAUGGGGAGCGAACAGGAUUAGAUACCCUGGUAGUCCAUGCCGUAAACGUUGGGCACUAGGUGUGGGGACCAUUCCACGGUUUCCGCGCCGCAGCUAACGCAUUAAGUGCCCCGCCUGGGGAGUACGGCCGCAAGGCUAAAACUCAAAGGAAUUGACGGGGGCCCGCACAAGCGGCGGAGCAUGCGGAUUAAUUCGAUGCAACGCGAAGAACCUUACCAAGGCUUGACAUGUUCUCGAUCGCCGUAGAGAUACGGUUUCCCCUUUUGGGGGCGGGUUCACAGGUG
rnacentral:rRNA from 1 species